ensembl:snRNA U6 U6 spliceosomal RNA
GUGCUCGCUUCGGCAGCACAUAUACUAAAAUUGGAACGAUACAGAGAAGAUUAGCAUGGCCCCUGCGCAAGGGAGAAUAAAAGGAGCAUUGAGGUGUACAGAAUUCAU